rnacentral:lncRNA from 1 species
AUGCCUCCCUACCCAGUGUGGAAGGCUAGGCAUUCCUCCCUACCCAGUGUGGAAGGCUUGGCAUUCCUCCCUACCCAGUGUGGAAGGCUUGGCAUUCCUCCCUACCCAGUGUGGAAGGCUUGGCAUUCCUCCCUACCCAGUGUGGAAGGCUUGGCAUUCCUCCCUACCCAGUGUGGAAGGCUUGGCAUUCCUCCCUACCCAGUGUGGAAGGCUUGGCAUUCCUCCCUACCCAGUGUGGAAGGCUUGGCAUUCCUCCCUACCCAGUGUGGAAGGCUUGGCAUUCCUCCCUACCCAGUGUGGAAGGCUUGGCAUUCCUCCCUACCCAGUGUGGAAGGCUUGGCAUUCCUCCCUACCCAGUGUGGAAGGCUUGGCAUUCCUCCCUACCCAGUGUGGAAGGCUUGGCAUUCCUCCCUACCCAGUGUGGAAGGCUUGGCAUUCCUCCCUACCCAGUGUGGAAGGCUUGGCAUUCCUCCCUACCCAGUGUGGAAGGCUUGGCAUUCCUCCCUACCCAGUGUGGAAGGCUUGGCAUUCCUCCCUACCCAGUGUGGAAGGCUUGGCAUUCCUCCCUACCCAGUGUGGAAGGCUUGGCAUUCCUCCCUACCCAGUGUGGAAGGCUUGGCAUUCCUCCCUACCCAGUGUGGAAGGCUUGGCAUUCCUCCCUACCCAGUGUGGAAGGCUUGGCAUUCCUCCCUACCCAGUGUGGAAGGCUUGGCAUUCCUCCCUACCCAGUGUGGAAGGCUUGGCAUUCCUCCCUACCCAGUGUGGAAGGCUUGGCAUUCCUCCCUACCCAGUGUGGAAGGCUUGGCAUUCCUCCCUACCCAGUGUGGAAGGCUUGGCAUUCCUCCCUACCCAGUGUGGAAGGCUUGGCAUUCCUCCCUACCCAGUGUGGAAGGCUUGGCUUGGCAUUCCUCCCUACCCAGUGUGGAAGGCUUGGCUUGGCAUUCCUCCCUACCCAGUGUGGAAGGCUUGGCUUGGCAUUCCUCCCUACCCAGUGUGGAAGGCUUGGCUUGA